GGAAUCCUGUUUAUACCUCUGCCAACACCAUCCUCCAACUGCUGUGACGAAUUCUUGUGCCUCCACCUGGGCCUGGGAUCUGUUUCUAAGAAGCCUCAGAGUGUUUUUAACCAACGUGAGGAGUUUUUCCAGAUCACUUUGUCAGGAAAGAGUUCUUCUCAACAGGAUUGUUAAGACGGAAAAUGUCCUUAAAGAGACGGCUGCUGUCCAUGUUGUUGUGCUGUGUUUAUUGCGUGACCUCGCUCUUCUGCCUCCACCCAAACCGCAACAACUGCUUCUCAAUGGGAGCUCGGAAUCUGUUGUCAGUUGUUCAGCAGCUUUACCAGCGUGCCAUUCGACUGCUCCGCACCACUCUGUGAUCCUCAGCGCUGCCUGUGUUUCAACCAAUAAUUCCGGACCUGUCCUGCCACUGCGGCCACUGUGGUUAUUUUCAAGCAUGUCCACCAGUAGGGCAUCACCAAUUUAAACAAUAAGAAACAGAGAAAGAGGAAUGGUUUCACUCCACUCAUGGACUUUCAGUUUUCUCUGACUUGGGAUCCAAUCGCCCUGUUGUGCUCACUACUGCAAUUCUCUAACUAUAUUUUAGAUGAAGGGGCGAGGAGUAUCUGAAAAAGUAAUUUUUUUUACUGACGUGGAUUAACAUUGUGGAUAUCUGCUGUGUGUUAUGCGAGUGAAGUGGAAAGGACAUAGUCAUUGAAAUGCAUUUUGAGGGUUCACUGUGAGCUUGGCUGCUGUGCUGUACACUGCAACAGCAGAAGUAUGAAGGUUAAGGAAACAGCCUUGUAACCAAGAGGUUGUUGGUCAAAAUUUGUGGACACGCUGGCAGUUUUGUUGUAGUAAUCCAAAAGUCAACAUGUAUGAAUCAAUGUUCAUGGAAUGGUCUUAAAGGAGACUGGGUCAAAAAGGGACUUGAGAAUAAUCAGAUCCAAUCCAAAAUGCAGUCAACCCAAACAGACCCAAGCGGAGCUAGAAAGAGAGAGAGAGAG